GUCGCAUGAUACAGUGUGAAAACACUCCGGUGGUAUGAGAUGGACCCGCGUCUGAUUAGCUAGUUGGUGAGGUAACGGCCCACCAAGGCGACGAUCAGUAGCCGGCCUGAGAGGGUGAACGGCCACAUUGGGACUGAGACACGGCCCAAACUCCUACGGGAGGCAGCAGUGGGGAAUAUUGCACAAUGGGGGAAACCCUGAUGCAGCGACGCCGCGUGAGUGAUGAAGUAUUUCGGUAUGUAAAGCUCUAUCAGCAGGGAAGAUAAUGACGGUACCUGACUAAGAAGCACCGGCUAAAUACGUGCCAGCAGCCGCGGUAAUACGUAUGGUGCAAGCGUUAUCCGGAUUUACUGGGUGUAAAGGGUGCGUAGGUGGCAAGGCAAGUCUGAAGUGAAAAUCCGGGGCUCAACCCCGGAACUGCUUUGGAAACUGUUUAGCUGGAGUACAGGAGAGGUAAGUGGAAUUCCUAGUGUAGCGGUGAAAUGCGUAGAUAUUAGGAGGAACACCAGUCGCGAAGGCGACUUACUGGACUGCUACUGACACUGAGGCACGAAAGCGUGGGGAGCAAACAGGAUCAGAUACCCUGGUAGUCCACGCCGUA
rnacentral:rRNA from 1 species